UUUAAACUCAUGCAAGGCUCAUAAUGCCUUUUUUCAUCUCUGAUAUUUAUAGUUUCAUGGUUAUAGUCAUUUUUGUGAUUCGUCUUGUAUUAGCUUUCCGAAUUACUCCUAUUAUACGUCAAAAUCUAUUUCUUUUGUUAGUACUUAAUGUAUGAUAUUGUAGCUCAAACCAAUUGAGUGGGAAUUUAUGUUAUCAUGCGGGGUUGUUUGACUUGUGAUCAAUCCAAUGUAUUGGAGUCCUAAACUAUUGCACUUAGCAAGUUUUCUGCAUUGAGCAAUAGAACACAUCGAUCAAAUGUGUUCCUGCCAUCUCCCUGGCUGUUGAAACAUAAUGGUCAUCCAUUAUUUCUUUUGAGUUUACCUCUAAUCUAUAAAUUUAUUCAAGUGUUUCCAUAAACCUGAUAGUAUGAACAUUUGUAUAGUUUGAUUUAUGAACAUAAUAAUUUGGAGAUGAAACAAUGUAGAAUCUGGAAACUUGGUCCCUACAGACUUGGCUGAAUUAUGCCUAGCCAGGACCCCCAAUCAUCAAUAUAUAAUUAUAAAACGGUGAAAUUACAAAUUAGGACAUAAAAUAACGAAACAGUACAAAACUUACUAUAACUACUUACACAAUACCCAAAACAUCCUUUUAGCGCUCCAACUCAAGGAAAAUUGGUCCCUACAGACUUGACUGAAUUAUGCCUAGCCAGGACCCCCUACCAUCAAUAUAUAAUUAUAAAACUGUGAAAUUACAAAUAAGGAUGUAAAUAAAACAAAACAGUACAAAACUAUCCAUAACUAAUUACACAAUACCCGAAACACCCUUUUAACACUCCAGCUCAAGCUAGAGCAUAAAUAUCUCCCAUGCCCAGCUUGGAACAACUAUUAAGAAAUGCAGGCUUAAACGAUGCAUUGGUGAAUAAUUGCCAAGUUGAUUAUUGGAGUUAAUAAAUGAGUAGAAAUCAGUUUUUGCACAACAACAUUGCUUACAAAAUCGAAGUCAACCUUGAUAUGUUUAGUCCACUCAUGGAAAACUGGAUUACUAACAAUAGAAAUAGUAGUUUGAUUGUGAAAAUACAUCUACAUAGUUUGGUGAUUGAAGAACCCAGCAUCUCCCCCUGAAUCCUGACCUUUCCUAAGAAAACUAGCACCUCGGCCUUGACCACCACUAUUUGAAACAAUUUCUGAGUUAUCCUUAGAAGAGGACAGUUCAGAUUUGGUGAAGGAGGGAGACACAAUGCAUUGAAUUCGACAAAACACGUCAUUCAUAGAUGGUAUCUUCUGGCAAGAAUAUGGCUUUUAACUGGCUGCAAAUCAGUAUCUUAUAUUCGUAAAAAUUUAGCUAUAAAAAACUCUACACACCGAGAUUUUAAAACACCAAUAUUAGGAAACAAAGGCUGGCAGACGUUUAGCUCCUCAGUCCUCCCACUUGCCCUUGAGUGCAUUAUAAUUAUAAUAGUCACCCACUGAUUUACCUUUUUUUUUUUUUUUUUUUUUUUCUGAAGGAAAAAAAAAAGAUUCCGAGUUUUCUGAGUGAACUAUAUCAUAGAACUUUGCACAAUUGGUUUUUAAUAUUUUCAUCUAUUGCUAGAUGCUGAUUUUUGUUUUAGUUCGUCGCUUAUUUUUAUAGUGCCCAAUUCAUUUAUAACAAAUAAGAAAUUUUUGUGAAGAUUUUUUUCCUAUUGAUGAGUAUCUAGGAAAGCAACAUUUUGCCAUUAUAGGUUUGUAUCAGGUUGGAUUCUUACCUGGUUGCAGAAUCAGCCAGAUGCUGUCUCAAAAGUAUCAAUUCCCUCUCAAUUUCCAUUUCUCAUUUUUUCUUCUUGCUGUACGGUUGAGAGAAUGUGAGAAAUGAGAGAGGGUGUUAGUGGUGGCCUUUCAAUAGCCCCACUUACCUUAGUGGCCCACUAAUUCAAAGUUAGUGGUCCAUUAACUCAUUUAAUGGCCUUACACUAUAUAUAAUAAUAUAUUAUAAUAUACUUAUACUUAGUAUAUAUUUAUGAUUUCAGAUUAUAUAUUGUAUACCCAUAUUAAUUAUAGUAUCCACUUAUAAUUUCAUUAUUUAAUUCAUUAUAUGAUCUCUUCCCUUGUAAUAUAAUAUAAUAAUAUAUAUACAUAUAUUUAUAUGGGUAUGUACAUGCAUAUAGUACCCAUCUUAAAAUAUUAUUUUGUGAACAGUUGGAUAUGGGAGCAUGUCACUAUGGACUUUGUGACAAGAUUAACUAUAGAACCAGAAGAGGGAAUGACACUAUAUGGUGGUUGUUGACAGGUUGACUAAAGUAGCCCAUUUCAUACCUAUGAAGAUAUCUUAUUCUAUGGAGAAACUAGCACAAUUAUACAUUGAUAACAUAGUGAGAUAUCAUGGUGUGCCUGUCAGUAUUGUUUCUGACUGCGAUUCCCAUUUCACUUCUAAAUUUUGGGAAAAUGUACAGAAGGAAAUGAGAACUAAAUUUAAGUUUAGCACAACAUUUCAUCCUCAGACAGAUGGGCAGAUAGAAAGAACAAUUCAGACUUUGGAAGAUAUGUUGAGGGUCUGUGCUAUUGACAUGUGCUAUAGUUGGGAUGAUCAUAUACCAUUAGUUGAAUUUGCAUAUAAUAACAGCUAUUAAUCAACUAUUGGUAUGGCACCAUUUGAAGCUUUGUAUGGGAAAAAGUGUAGAACCCCAUUGUAUUGGGAUGAAGUGGGAGAAAGGAGAAUUUUGGGACCUGAGUUAGUACAAGUUACUUGUGAGAAGGUAGAUAUGAUCAGAGAAAGAAUCAAGGCAGUUAGUUCAAUCCAGGCAGAAAAGUUAUGCAAACAACAGGAGGAAGUCUCUAAAGUUUGAGGUGGGUGAAAGGGUAUUUCUGAUGAUUUCUCCUAUCAAAGGCAUCAAGAGAUUUGGAAAAAGAGGUGAAUUAAGUCCAAGGUAUAUAGGACCCUUUGAGAUAUUGAAUCGGGUUGGCAAGAUAGCCUAUAGAUUGGCAUUACCUCCAGAACUGGACAGAUUUCAUAAUGUCUUCCAUGUCUCUAUGUUGAAGAAGUAUAUUCUAGAUCCUUCACAUGUAUUGUCUGUUGUGGAACCUUUGGAGUUGGAUGAUGAUUUGAGCUAUGAAGAAUAACCUGAGGGAAUCUAUGAUAGGAAGGAAUACCAACUCCGGAGUCGAAUUAUUCCAUAUGUGAAGAUCAAGUGGAAGAACCAUCCGGAGUAAGAAGCUUACUAGGAAAGAGAAGAUGAAGUAAAAGAGAAGUACCCAGAACUAUUUGGUUCACCAGGCAAGAGUAACAGAUUGGAGAAGCCAAUACUAGCUUGCCUGGUAGCAGUGGAGUGCCAGGAAGGAAGGGAUGACCUAACAUGUACCUGCGCCUUCUGCCAACAGUGUUGGAAGAAAUAGUAAGAAAAGUGGCCCAACAAGUAUUUAUUUACCUUUCUUAAGGGCUAGUAAUAAAAAGGGAUUAAACAGACUCAAGAAGAACCAAUCUGGUUUAAUAGGCGGGAGAAUUCAGAAAAUGAUUGUUGGCCUGUUGACUGGAUAGAAUGCCAGAAUUGGCUGAAAUGGGUCCCACACUUGGAAUUUGGGAUAUGUAGAGCUAUUUCUAAGGGUCUGAAAUGGUUAAUUAAGAUAAAUAAUAAAUAUGUAACUAAAAUAAUAUUUUAAGAUGGGUACUAUAUGCAUGUACCCAUAUAUGUAUAUAUUAUUAUAUUAUAUUAUAAGAGGAGAGAUAUAAUAUAAUGAAUUAAAUACUAGAAUUAUAAGUGGAUACUAUAAUUAAUAUGUGUAGACAAUAUAUAAUCUGAAAUUAGAAGUAUACAGUAAGUAUAAAUAUAUUAUAAUAUAUUAUUAUAUAUAGUGUAAGUGGACCAUUAAAUGAGUUAGUGGACCACUAACUUUGAGUUAGUGGGCCACUAAGGUAAGUGUGGCUAUUUAAAGGCCACCACUAACACCCUCUCUCAUUUCUCACAUUCUUUCAACCGUACAACAAGAAGAAAAAAGGAGAAUCCAACUUGAUACAAACCUGUAAUGGCAAAAUGUUGCUGAAGUGGGUGGUUUGGGUUGGCUGAUUUGGCUGGAAUAGGAAGAUUAGGAUAAAAUAUGAGAAAUUAGCAGGGAUUAAGGACUCAAAGUACAUGAUAUUUUGUUCCUUUGAUGAAAAUGGAAAGGAAUCCUAAAUCUGAAAUGGGAUUACACUAAUUAAGGCCGAAUAGAACUGAAAUUCUUUAAAUUCUUAAAACAAAGAAUUUAUUUGAAAUUGGGGUGAAAUCCCAUCUUGAGUUUUUCUGUUCUAAGAUUCUAAAUACACAUGCAAGAUGAAUUGAAGGUCUGAUUUCAUAGAUGCAUGUGAAAUUGAGGUUUGAUCAUUAAAUUGAAGGCUAGCAACUAUUAUUUCCCUUCUUAUUUCAUGAGUUUGAAUGGGAAAUUGGUUUAAUUGGAAAGGAAUUUGAAAAUUUGAAAUGGGGAAACUGUUGCAUGGGAAGGGAUUCUUAAGAUCUGAGAUGGUAUUCUAUGAAUUAAGGCUGAAUAGGACUGAGUGAGUAAAAUUUCUGCUCAAAAUUCUUAAAAAAACAGAAUUUUAAAAUGGAAUUUCAAGGGGAUUUCACUGUGUUGUAAUUUUAGAGAUGCAUACAAGAGGAAUUAGAUAUGGAGUAAGUUAAAAGACUGAUAUCCCAUCUCUGAUUAAGUAAUUCACAUGUAUAAUUGGUUCAAUCUUGGAUAAAAUUGAUGUCAAAUCCCUUAAUAGUAGUUUUGUAGCCAAACUGUUCACAAAAUCUCCCAAUUCCUUUAUCAACCUAUAACACAACCGAACUUACAUUGAUAGUAGAUACCACCAGCGAGAACAAAUGCUUGUUAUAGAUGCUACAAGCAUGCUUGUCAGGGUGAACAACAAGAGAAACACAAGGAUUCGCACAAGAAUUCACAAAGCCAUACAGACGGAUAGUUUCAAAUUCAAGGUACUCAUCACAUUGGCGAUGCUGCUUAUAAAGCCGCACAAAACCGGACUUCAAACCUUCAUAAGUCCGAUGGACUUCAAACACUUAAUUCCACCUACUAAAAGAUCAGAACAUAGAAGUACAUAUUUUUGGUUGGACGCAUGUCCUGAGGAAUAAAAGGACAAGCCUUCGCAACAGAUCAUUAACUAUGCGGGCUGAUAUGAUAGAAAUCUUCUUUCUUCACAUAAUGCUGUAGCAAUCAUAUUUUGUUGUCAUUUCUGAGGUCUAUUGUUUCUUUUUUGUCCUUUAUAGAAGUGGCAUGUCAUUCACCUCUCUUUCAUUAUCAAAGUUGUCGCCUUGCACUGACAUAAUUUGUAGAUACUAGAAGGUUUUGAAAUUGAAGAAAAAAUGCUUCGGAUUCGGGAUAUGGAGGAAUUCUUAAGCAAAGAAGACACGAUUACGAGGGAGCAACUAGUGCAUUUUAUAUAUGGACUUUGGAAACUGUCCCAACAAAAGUACUCCACUAUUAAAAAGGAAAAUAUGGCAAUAGUUCAUUGCAUCACUAAUUUUAAUGAUUUUUUGCUAAAUAAAAAAUUUCUAAUCCGAGUCGACUGUAAA